CCAGACCACAGGCUGAGCCCAAAGGCAGUGUCAGGCUAAAUUUGGGUGACAACACUCUCAAGAAACACUCGGAGCCUCUUCAAUUACAAAGGCUUUUCUAAUAUUCACCUUUCUUCAAGAUGAUCCUGAAAGAUGAGUCAGAAGUUCCAUACCUGCCUUCCAUAUGGGGAAGCUGGGGCCCAGAAAGAAUCUCAGUUCCCUGACCAAAGAUUUAACCCAGGCCAUGGCAGUGAAAAUACCAAAUGGUAAUCACUGGACCACCAGCACUUACAUCCAUUAAAGGAUCUUCCAGAGCCCCUGUAUCAGUCUAGCAGGUCUCGUUGGAAACUUCCAGCUCUCCAGAUGCUGAACGCAGUCCAUGGCUCAGUCACCGACCCCUCACUAUUUUCCUUUUUUAAU